UACGGGGGGGGGCAAGCGUUGUUCGGAAUUACUGGGCGUAAAGGGCUCGUAGGCGGCCAACUAAGUCGGACGUGAAAUCCCCAGGCUUAACUUGGGAACUGCGUCCGAUACUGGAUGGCUUGAAUCCGGGAGAGGGAUGCGGAAUUCCAGGUGUAGCGGUGAAAUGCGUAGAUAUCUGGAGGAACACCGGUGGCGAAGGCGGCAUCCUGGACCGGUAUUGACGCUGAGUGAGCGAAAGCCAGGGGAGCAAACGGGG
rnacentral:rRNA from 1 species